rnacentral:rRNA from 1 species
UACGUAGGGUGCAGGCGUUAAUCGGAAUUACUGGGCGUAAAGCGUGCGCAGGCGGCUGGUCAAGUCCGAUGUGAAAGCUCCCGGCUUAACUGGGAAAUUGCAUCGGAAACUGAUCGGCUGGAAGGUGGGAGAGGGUAGCGGAAUUCCCGGUGUAGUGGUGAAAUGCGUAGAUAUCAGGAGGAACACCCAUGGCGAAGGCAGCAGACUGGGCGUUUCCUGACGCUGAGGCGCGAAAGCGUGGGUAGCAAACAGG